AGGGGGAAAAGGGGCGUGGCCUUAACACCAGUGCUAAUCACAUGACCCCUCCUUUUAACUCCAAAUAAGGGAAAAGGGGCGUGGCCUCAACACCCACCUCAAUCACAUGACCCCUCCUUUUAACCCCUAAUAAGGGAAAAGGGGCGUGGCCUUAACACCCCAUGUCAAUCACGUGACCCCUCCUAUAAACCCCAAAUAAGGGGAAAAGGGGCGUGGCCUCAACACCCACCUCAAUCACAUGACCUCUCCUUUUAACCCCUAAUAAGGAAAAAGGGGUGUGGCCUAACCACCCAAUCACAUGACCCCUCCUUCUAACCCCUAAUAAGGAAAAGGGGGCGUGGCCUAACCACCCAAUCAGGAACAGGGGGCGUGGCCAGAUGUGGGGAAAAGGGGGCGGGGAUUCAAUCCGACCAAUGGGAAGGCGCGAGGGGGGCGGGACCUUACCCGGUGGGCGGGGCCGGCGAGGGCGGGGCGGAGUCGGAAGAGCUGGAACUGGAGUCGGAGUCGGAGUCGGAGUCGGACGAGGAGGAGGAGGAGGAGGAGGAGGAGCUCGAGGAGGAGGAGGAGGAGCUCUUGGUGACGUCAGCGGUGACGUCAGCGGUGGGCGGGGCCGCGCUGGGAACGGUGGCGCUGGGAGCACUGGGAGCCGCUGGAACCGUCGUACUGGUGUUACUGGUUAUACUGGGAGCUGCUGGGACUGUUGUACUGGUGUUACUGGGAGCACUGGGAGCCGCGGGAACGGUUGUACUGGUGUUACUGGUGAUACUGGGAGCCGCAGGUUUGAUGGUACUGGUGUUACUGGUGAUACUGGGAGCCAUGCUGGUCAUACUGGGACGAGCCGGACUGGUCAAACUGGUCACGCUGGCCGGAGCUGGACUGGUCAAACUGGUCGUGGUGGCCGGAGCUGGACUGGUCGAACUGGUCAAACUGGUUUGACUGGGACUGGUCAAACUGGGACGAGUUGGACUGGUCAAACUGGUUUGACUGGGACUGGUCAAACUGGUCACGCUGGUCGGACUCAGACUGGUCAAACUGGGACGAGUCGGACUGGUCAAACUGGUGGCGGUGGCCGGAGCUGGACUGGUCACAGUGGCCGGAGCCGGACUGGUCAAACUGGUCUGACUCGCACUGGUCAAACUGGUCUGACUCGGACUGGUCAAACUGGUGGCGGUGGCCGGAGCU
rnacentral:lncRNA from 1 species